rnacentral:rRNA from 1 species
AUGAACGCUAGCUACAGGCUUAACACAUGCAAGUCGAGGGGAAACGACAUUGGAAGCUUGCUUCCGAUGGGCGUCGACCGGCGCACGGGUGAGUAACGCGUAUCCAACCUGCCCAUCACUUGGGGAUAACCUUGCGAAAGUAAGACUAAUACCCAAUGACGUCUCUAGAAGACAUCUGAAAGAGAUUAAAGAUUUAUCGGUGAUGGAUGGGGAUGCGUCUGAUUAGCUUGUUGGCGGGGUAACGGCCCACCAAGGCGACGAUCAGUAGGGGUUCUGAGAGGAAGGUCCCCCACAUUGGAACUGAGACACGGUCCAAACUCCUACGGGAGGCAGCAGUGAGGAAUAUUGGUCAAUGGACGAGAGUCUGAACCAGCCAAGUAGCGUGCAGGAUGACGGCCCUAUGGGUUGUAAACUGCUUUUAUAAGGGAAUAAAGUGAGAGUCGUGACUCUUUUUGCAUGUACCUUAUGAAUAAGGACCGGCUAAUUCCGUGCCAGCAGCCGCGGUAAUACGGAAGGUCCGGGCGUUAUCCGGAUUUAUUGGGUUUAAAGGGAGCGUAGGCCGGAGAUUAAGCGUGUUGUGAAAUGUAGACGCUCAACGUCUGCACUGCAGCGCGAACUGGUUUCCUUGAGUACGCACAAAGUGGGCGGAAUUCGUGGUGUAGCGGUGAAAUGCUUAGAUAUCACGAAGAACUCCGAUUGCGAAGGCAGCUCACUGGAGCGCAACUGACGCUGAAGCUCGAAAGUGCGGGUAUCGAACAGGAUUAGAUACCCUGGUAGUCCGCACGGUAAACGAUGGAUGCCCGCUGUUGGUCUGAAUAGGUCAGCGGCCAAGCGAAAGCAUUAAGCAUCCCACCUGGGGAGUACGCCGGCAACGGUGAAACUCAAAGGAAUUGACGG